GAUCAAUCCGGUCCAUCAAUCAUAUCAACAUAGGAUCUAAGAGAUCUUAGUUACUCUUGCGUAACUAGACCCAACAUUGAUCAUGUAUAUCAAUAUAACCAACGACAUGGAUCAAGUAUAGGUGUGUAGCAUGGAAAUAACAUAAAGUGUGUCUGAAAUAGAAUGUCUAUUUCCAACUGGUUCACCUUAUUGAGAUCAAUCAUAGACCAUAAGAGUACACAAAACUUUAAUACUGAAUAUCUGCAGAUAAAACCUUAAAGACCGAAUUACCAAUUGUACUGGACAAUACAUAAUUGUAUAACACAAACUCCCACUAAAACUCGUAAUCCUCAACUGAUUUGACACCCAUGCAAGCAAUAUGCUCAUGAAAUACUUUGGGUGGCAAU
rnacentral:lncRNA from 1 species